GGCUUCGUGGUCUAGCGGUAUGAUUCUCGCUUAGGGUAACACCCUCAGUAUCUAUUAUGCGAGAGGUCCCGGGUUCGAUCCCCGGCGAAGCCC